ACGGUCAUAUAGCAUUGAAACAUUGGUUCCCAUAUGAUCAAUGAAGUUAAGCAACAACAAGCUUGGUCAGUACCUACAUGGGUGACCACUUGAGAAUACCAGGUGCUGUAAG